rfam:Trichosporon oleaginosus strain IBC0246 unplaced genomic scaffold CC85scaffold_2, whole genome shotgun sequence.
UCCCGUGUGGGGCAGCGGUUAGCUCUUGGUGCUUAUGAGGAUACCUGUUCAUUCACCACUGUCGUGGGUUCAAAUCCCACCAUGGGAA